UGGCUUGUGAAAGCGCUUAUCUGAUGCUGGGGGAGUGCCGCACGUGGAACGGCGAAACAGAGAUCUUUUCACAUAGCCCAUCUGGAUGGCUUCAUCCUAUAGGACAGGCUUAAGAGUGACCUGACAUCUUCCCAGUGGAGGUGGAGGAGAUGCUCGCUGGAAGCUUCUAGAAGAGGAAAUGGCAGCAGACCAAAGUGUCCUCUGUUCCUCAUGGCCUGACUUCAACCACGUUCCCCUGUGCCCUGUGUUCAGAGGUUUCCACCAGCAGAGCAUGUCUGAGCUCCUUGGCAAACUGACUUCCCACAUGCUCCCAAGCUGCUCUGUCUUCACCAGUUA